CAUGCGCAGCUGCAGGAGGCGGACAGGACGGACGUUACGUUUACGUAACCCCUUAAACAUGUGUAAAGCACGAGGAACAAUGGGCGACCACUUGAGACCACCGUAAGAAAAGGUUGGACAGCUGAAGUGAUUCUGAUGAAUGUCUGACUGAACCGGACCACAUGGCUCUUGGCUCUUGAGAACGAUGGCUGUGGUAUCUGGCAUGUGACUUGACGCUACUGAUGCAGCUGGUGCAACAGAAAUGGUGGUCUCUGGCUUGCCUGGCUUAUCCUGGAUCCACAAUGUUAUGCAUCAAGGUGCAGGUGUUGAAAGCUGAAUAUUUCCAGUGUGCCUCAGAGCUGGAGUCCACAUGGAUAGUUGAAAAGCAAGAACAGGAUGCAAAUUAAUACAAAACUUUUAUUCAUGUGUACAAACAUUGACCAUUUUGGCUUAAAUAAAGGAAUGUAAAUAAAGAAAUGG